AGGUGUGCUGCUCUUCACAGUUUGGGGCUGAGACCGGGGGUUCACACUGAGGGCGAGUUUCUUUAUUUGAGUUGACUUAAUUUCAGUGUUAUUUCUUUUAACAAGACCGUAGAAACAAUUAACUCCUGCUGAAAUGUGUCACGGGGAACUGAAAAGUUGCAGCAGCUCGAUUUUGCUUUCCUUUGUCUUUGUUAUUUUAUCUUGUUGCUUUAGUUUAUUGUUGUUUAUGUUUGUGUGGGUGCGCUCUAUCUCUCUCCAUGCGGCAACCAACGGUGGUCCCCGGCACUGCCGCAUCUCCGACCCAGGGGUGUCAUGCUGUUUGAAGACCGCGGCCCACCUGCCAGAGAAGCUUGAGCCGGAAUGGUAGAGUGAGGAUGUGCCCCCUCUCAUCUCCUGUGGCACUUUCCACCUCUUGAGUCCUUAAAGAUGUGCCAUCUGGAGGUCCCCCUGAACUCUUGUGGGGCGAGAAUGGCACUUCGCGUUCUCAAGAUUAUCAAAAUUGGUGUGCCUGGGCCCUCUUUUCUCAAAACCCCUCCCUGCUCCCAGACAUGAAAGGUUCAGGUCUCAGAGGCUUCACUUUCUCAUGUCCCAAAGCAGACUCAGUGGAUACUCCGUGCGAGAGUGGAUGUCUGUACGAGCGAGCUGCUGUGGCUCUGAUAAAAUGAGACAUGGGUUACAGAGCUUUUGAUAUACUGCAGCUGUUCGUCACCUCGUCUGACCUUCACCCCCAGUCCGUACCCCGGAGACGUGUCCAGAAUUAGAACAGGUUAAAGUCAGUAAUGGUGUUCAGAACUAACAAAAUAUGGAAUAGGCUCACUUGGAGCAAGGGAGAACAAAAUAUGUCUUUUAAAAAUAGUUAACAUUGACAUGAUAAAUAAACUUUGAAUAUUUGUAUAGCAAUACAAGGUUAUAGGCCUACCCUCCCACCCCCUCCCCACCUUCUCCUGUUGCUUUUUCCGAAUAAACUGUUGACCUUUGGUCACUUUUUAAUGUCAUGAGAGUUAUAUUACUUCUACUGCCCUAAGGCUGAACAGAUGUUAAGAAGAUGUGUUUGACACUUUUCCCCUAACUUUUUGGAUAUACAUUGCCAUCAUCAAUCAUUUCUUUGAAAACCCCCCACCCUCCCAAAAAUUAUCUUUUCUGAAAGUGAUUCAUAUGGACACAACUUUGUAACUUAGUUAUUAUUAUAUUUUGCUGAAUGUGCCAUUAGUUUAUUUUCAGACUGAGGCUCUAUAAUAUUAGACAUACAAGAAAGGAAAAAAGAAAACUGGAAAAAAAAAUGGGACCGUGUCCAAAUUACAAAUUACAAAACCGAUCUCCAAUUUCCCUUCAGUGAGUGAUUGCUUAUUUGAGUAAAAACUCCAUCAGGCAUUCGGCAGUGAUAUUUAGUCAAACUUUUGACCUCGUUAGGCCAACAGUCUGCAACCCUCAUCAAACUCUGAGAAUGUAAUCUGAUAAUCUCGUCACGUGCUAAAAUGAAGUCCGAGUGAGGUCAGAGUGAACCAUGUAUGGAUCGGUAAGCAAUUAUUUUCAUCUUGUUUUUUUCUCCAGUGAAAAUGAAAUGCUCUCUUACAUGUAUUGGUACAUUUCUAGCUAACUAUUAAUACGGCAUACUGUAUUCAAGCAAUAUGACAUGGGGCUAAUCUACAUACUUAAAAAACACAAAACACUGCUAUGAAUAAGAAUAAGAAAAUAAAUAUGCGGUCAUGUCCAUGUAUGCAUUAAAGAAUAAUAGUAAAUAAGUACAUAAAUCCCCCAGGUCAGACGAAUAGAAACUGAAAUAAAGAAUAAAAGUGGUACAAUUACCCAAACAUCCCUUUCAGCCCUGCAGAAAGCGUUUGAUACUGUCAGGCACAAUUUAAUGUCAACUGCAUUGUGCCGAAUGGGUGUCAGUUUGGGUUGGCGAGAAGCCCGGCGAGACUGUGACCACACAGGACAGUUUCCGGCAGAUUCUGCCGGGAACUGGCUCCGGCCUCCACAAACGCUACCCGUGGCAAAACAACGGCACGCCUAUUCGCCGGGAGGCAGUGUCCAAUGGAUGUGCAUUUUAAAUUUGACUUCUGUUGUCCUACUGAUUCAAGAAACAUCUGUUAUGAAGUUUUCCUACGUCUACCCGGCUAUCUGUCUGUUUUUGCCCUUCUGACCUUUAGUCCAUCAACAACUUCUGCAUCUUCUUCUUAUUCUGAUCAAUAUGUUGCUUCAUUAUCUAUAAAUAAGCAGCUACAGG